rnacentral:lncRNA from 1 species
GUCAGGAAUAUAUGUUUUUUAUUUAUUGGAUAUUUUUGAGCUAUUAAUUUUACCAUUUGUGACUUUCCGUUUUGAAUUUGACUUGGAGUUUGGUAUUUAUUAUAUUUUACAUUUGCCAUUUUUAUUUAGUUUGUUUACUUUUUUAAGUCAGUUGCGUUUUAUGUCAAUGUAUGUCUGUUGCGUAUAUUUACAAAGUUUUGGCUGCUGGAUCCCAAUUUACCAUAUAAUGUUUACCAUAUAAUGUUUCUUUAUGUUGUUAAUCCAAUAUUAUGUCAAUGUACGGAACAAUUAAUAACUGUCAUACAAGUGGAUGGUUCAUUAGUCAGCUUUAAAAGCAGGGUUAACCAACCGUUUUCUUUUGAAAUUCAUCUCCGACGUCAGGAAUAUGACAGUUGUUUUCCACUCGUUCUGUUGGUUGAUAACGUUUGAUUUUGUUAGUUUUUUAAAAUUUACACGGAAGCUCGUUUUCUUAUUUCCUUCUUAUCUGCUAUCAUGGUUGUUGUAAAUGUGUAUAUUGGUUAUUUCCAAGUAAAGGAAUAUUAAUUGUUUUAUUUGUAUGAUAGAGGAUUGAUGUGAAAAGAAUUUUUAAAUGUACUCUCAGAAUUGACAGGACCAUAUUUCGAGGACGAAAUGUAUUCUUGGGGAGGGGCAGUGUUGUAAAUGUGUAUAUUGGUUAUUUCCAAGUAAAGGAAUAUUAAUUGUUAUUAUUGUAUUGAGAUAGUUUUACCUUAUGUUAUUAGCUGUAUCGAUAACGUCGUAUAUGGCGCAACUUUGUCAUGUAUUGUUCAGAACGUUACCGUUGGGUCAAUAUUUUAAGCGUAAACCCAAAAGUGUUCAUUAAAGAGUUCUUAAUUGGGAGAAUUAGUAUGUCUAGAUUUGUUUAUUCAUAAGAUUGUAUUAUUAUAAGCAUUUUGAGUCGAGGACUCCUAUAUUUUAUGUAAGCGUUUUACGUUAUGUUUUUCUUGAACAGUGAUAUUGUUGGCUUUUUUUCAAAACUACCUCUACCCUUUUUUAUUGGGAAAAUAUGCGUCAUUUUUAUCAAAUUGGGAAAUUUAUAAUGAAAGAUGAAUUGGACUGGAACUUCAAUUUGCAGACCCCCUUUUGAGAGGUAAACCCUCAUUUGAAAUAAGAC